rnacentral:rRNA from 1 species
GGUUAGAUUAAUGCAACAUAGACUUUUACUUGAUCCCAUCUGAUCUCAGAAGCUAAGUAGGGUUGGGCCUGGUUAUACUUAGAUGGGAGACCACCCAGGAAGAUCAGGUACUGUAGGCA